CGGGGAUUAGUUCAGUUGGUAGAACGCACGGUUUGGGACCGUGAGGUCAGAGGUUCAAGUCCUCUAUCCCCGACAA
rnacentral:tRNA from 1 species